CAUUGAAAUGCUUUUCUAUGGUAAAAUCAUAAUGCUUAGGUCUCCCCCACUUUCUGAUGUCGGCGGGGGAGGAGACAAUCGGCCUCGAGACAACUCGAGAUAACAAGUUUGUUUUCCUGGCAUUAUAGUUUCCCUUUAACCCCUUAAGGACGGAGCCAAUUGUACAAGUUAUCAAAACAAAAUGUAAACAAAACCUGAAAUUUGCACUAUAUAUCUGUUCAACUGUAAUUCACCUGUUUCAUGUUAAGUACACCCACACUUAUUAUAUAUCAUUUUAUACAGGAAAAACAG